ACAUUACACAUAUGUAUCACGUCAAACAAUGAUUAUAUAAAAAUUAUGGAAAUAGUAUCUAAUAUCAAUCUUCAAUGCAUAUAAUAAUAUUCUCAAGCAAAUUGACUUUUAAAAUUUAGUUGGAACACUCAUUAUGACACGUUACGAUCAAUCUUCUCGUUUUUUUUUUGGUGUAAACUGACACAUUUUAUUUAUAAUACAAGCCAUUUAUAGAAGUUGUUGUGGUCCAGCCACAACAACACAAGCAGUAGGCAAACUAAUGACAUUAGUAUGUACAACCUGCCUAUCAUUACUAGAACUAAUAUAAUACACAUUGGGGGUGAACGUGAGAUGAUUUCACCCUUCUAACCGCUAGAUCUCCAUUCCUGUCUGCACGCAAAAUGUCACUAAAUGACUGUGGAUAUUCCCUAAACAAUGUAGUAGUAAAAGUCAUAGUAAAAGUCAUAGUAGAUAAACUUGCUAUUGUGUCUGGUAGCCUAUUCUGCUCCCUAUAAAUGUGGUGUAGCUGAGGAUUAUUCAAUGCACGCGAAAGGAACCUGCAAUCAGAUAUCAAAAAUAAAUUAGAACAUGUUUCAAGCAGAUGGACUAGUUGUGAGUCUAUCCCAAUUUCCAAUGGGAAAAAGUUAUUCUGAUAAGCUAACUCUAGUCCUAGUAUGAGUGUAUAGGUUUCACCCUCUAGGACAUCUACUGUGUAACAAGAUCCACGAAAACCUAAUAGCUAUUCUCCCCUGUUGUUCCUGAAAACUCCCCCUAGUCCAAAAUGGUCCAUUGACGGUGCGUGAUAGGCAUAAUCUGUGUUAAGCAUAAAGUUUGUUUGUGCAGAAGUUUCCAUUCAACAUACAUAGUAAUAGAGGUUUUCUUAGGACUUGUAGGCCUACUAGAAACCAAAACUCUUCUACUAGUUGCGAAAUAUCAUUCAGUGAUAGUGAGAAAGAAUUUUCCUCAAAUAUGAACUUAUUUUGUGCCACCCAAAUAUACCAGACAAAAACUUAUAUAGACUUUUGAGGGAGUUUGCAACGACGAACCUUGAGUUGGGCUCAAAUGGAGAUAACGGAAAUCAUAUAACCAAUGGGAUGGGUGCAGCAGAGUGAAGACUAAUGCAAUCAUAUGGUUUUUGAUCCCCAAACUUUCCCACAAAGGUAGUAUGAUAAGGAUCGGGUUACGUUAAUGAACAAGAAAAUAAUGCGAAAGCGAAAAUAUUAAGAUUAAAGAAAACUAAUUAAAGAUAGGCAAAAUUGGAAAAUAAAAUCCCCAAUUUCGAGGUUAAGUGCUAAGAACCCUAUAUUCAAAAUUAGCGAAUUAAGACUAAUUAUAAUAUCAAUAAAGUCAAUUCAAAAACUUAGAUCAAAAGUGAUUUAGACCCCUAUUUCAAAGAAACUAAAGACAACAAUUAGUAUAAGACUAAUCACCUUCUUUAAUUAACUUUAAUAGAAACCAAAGAUAUCAAGUUAAGAAUCAAUCUUACCUCCUAAAGAAUCAUUCUUAUAAAGUUGCAAGAUAAAUCCCAAGUAGUCACACACAAAGGUGUAAAUAAGAGAAACUCUCAAUUAAUA
rnacentral:lncRNA from 1 species